rnacentral:rRNA from 1 species
AUAUUGCACAAUGGGGGAAACCCUGAUGCAGCGACGCCGCGUGAGUGAAGAAGCGCCUCGGCGCGUAAAGCUCUGUCAGCAGGAACGAUAAUGACGGUACCUGAAGAAGAAGCCCCGGCCAACUACGUGCCAGCAGCCGCGGUAAUACGUAGGGGGCAAGCGUUAUCCGGAUUUACUGGGUGUAAAGGGAGCGUAGACGGCGAUGCAAGUCUGAAGUGAAAGGCGGGGGCCCAACCCCCGGACUGCUUUGGAAACUGUAUGGCUGGAGUGCAGGAGAGGUAAGUGGAAUUCCUAGUGUAGCGGUGAAAUGCGUAGAUAUUAGGAGGAACACCAGUGGCGAAGGCGGCUUACUGGACUGUAACUGACGUUGAGGCUCGAAAGCGUGGGGAGCAAACAGG